rnacentral:rRNA from 1 species
UACGUAGGCAGCGAGCGUUGUUCGGAGUUACUGGGCGUAAAGGGUGUGUAGGCGGUUGCUUAAGUUUGGUGUGAAAUACUCCCCGGCUGCAACUCGGGAGGGUGCGCCGAAUACUGAGUGACUCGAGUGCGGGAGAGGGAGAGUGGAAUUCCUGGUGUAGCGGUGAAAUGCGUAGAUAUCGAGAGGAACACCGGUGGCGAAGGCGGCGAUCUGGGCCUUACCUGACGCUCAGGUGCGAAAGCUAGGGGAGCGAACAGG